rnacentral:lncRNA from 1 species
UUCCCCUUUCUCCCUCCUCCUCGCUUGUCCGCCUCCCGCCCCGUGAAGCAUCUCUGAGGACCCACAGAGCAGGCGGGGAUCUCAGCCUCAUCCGGAAGUCUCCGAAUAGAAACAGAAGGCCGCUUCUUCAGACCCAUCUGCUGACAGUCGACCAUCAGGCCGCCGGGUGAGAGGAAGAGGAAGGGGAAGGGGAGGAAACCCUACCUGAUCUCCGGAGGCUGGCCGGCGAUUGAGCUCGAUGACGAAGCCGCCGACGUCGUCCUCGCAGCAGAGCUCGUCGU